UACGUAGGUGGCAAGCGAUACUCGGAAUCACUAGGCGUAAAGCGCAGGUAGGAGGUUUGGUAAGUCUUUUGUGAAAGCUCCCGGCUUAACUGGGAGAGGUCAAGGGAAACUGCCAGGCUAGAGUGUGGUAGAGGAAGAUGGAAUUCCCGGUGUAGCGGUGAAAUGCGUAGAUAUCGGGAGGAAUACCUAUGGCGAAAGCAGUCUUCUGGACCAUCACUGACUCUGAUCUGCGAAAGCUAGGGGAG
rnacentral:rRNA from 1 species